rnacentral:lncRNA from 1 species
UGACAUUGCAUAGUUACUAAGCACUAUAACAUAUCUUAGCCAUUACCCAAUAAUAAUAUAAAAUGAAAAAUAAUUAAAUAAUCAAAUAUACAAAUAUAACUUAUAAAAAUUGUAAAACAAAAUAAAAGCAAAGUCACACGCUCUAACAAAAGCAAAGUAACAUAACGCCAAGUCACCAACAAUUUGCAAACAAAAAACCCUAAGCUUC